rnacentral:lncRNA from 1 species
GGAAGGGAGAGGGAAUUCUAGGUGGCAGAAAGGGUGGAAAAUGCUAAGGCAGAGGCUCCGAGCUCUGGGGUGGAAGAACAAAGCAGUGGUGGUGUGGAAUGGAGGCAGCUCGCUGCAUGUCCAGCUGGGGAGCAGCCUCCCUGCCCCUGUAGCUGCCUCCCUGCUUGCUCUGAAUGGAGCCUCUGGGCUCAGCAGGACCUGGUAGGAACUGAGUCCCUCUCAACUCAGGCACAUGAAGAAAAUUCUCCUGCCCUCUAGGCUCCACGGUGUGACCCCAAAGCAGUGUGUGUGGAGCAGACAAGAACUUUCUGAUGGUCAGGGGACAUUCAUCACUGUAAAUCGAAGACUAAGAGAGGUGGCAGAGCUUAUAUCCUCAUACCAGAGAUGCAGUAGACCCUUGAACAACACAGGUUUGAACUGGCUGGGUCCACUCACGUGCGGAUUUUCUUUUGCCUCUGCCACUCCUGAGACAGCAAGACCAAACCUCCUCCUCAGCCUACUCAACAUGAAGGCGAUGAGGAUGAAGGCCUUUACAAUGAUCACUUCCACUGAAUGAAUAGAACUCCUGGAAAGAAGAGAAGAGGAGGUAAUCAAUGGCGCUGAAGUCCUCACUACUCUUGUUCAGGCGGAACUGGAGGAAGACCAGCUCCCGCUUUUUCACUUCCCGGGGCCCCUGGACAAUCAGGGCAGAUUUCUGCAGAGAGAAAAAGGACAGAGUCUCAGUCCUGGGAGAGUACACAGAGGCCUCUGGGUCUGAGGGCAGAAGUACUGACUGGAAAGCCCAUAGCUCCUUGCCCAGUGGUCUCCAAAGGGACCACUAGCCAACAACAGGACUGGGCUGGGACUCAUGCUCAUUCCUGGGGAGUUUUCCCCAUAUGAUGCCCAACCAGAGCUGAAUGCAGCUCAUCCUCUGUCCACUUUUCUCAUUGGUUCUUUGAGUUAUGGAAGCUCUUAAUUUAGCAAGGAUGAUCACUUUCAUCUGUUAUGUGUGCCAAUCUUUUCUUCCAGUCUGUCAUUUUUCUUUUAACUUUGUUUCCAAUGUCAUUUGUCCUAUGGAAACUUUAAAUUUAACGUAGUAAAACCUUAAAUCCUUUUCUUUACGGCUUUGGGUUUUGCUUGCUGAGGAAAGCCAAAAUUAUAUCAAUAUUCUCCUCUAUUUCUUUAUAGCACUUUUUAAUCUUUUUUACAUUUAGAUACUUUAUAUACCUGGCUUUAAGCUCUGUAUAUAGUGUGAAAUAGGGCUCUAACUCCUACUUCCCAAACAAUGCAUAGAGACAGGUUUUGAAGCCUCUUCCCCUCCCUCCUUUAUCCUAUACUAAAUUCCAUGCAGAACCAAUAUCUAUGUCUGCUUCUGGCCCUAGCAGAGCCCACACAUUUGUCUGUCUCUGUCCAGUACUGUGCCACUUUGAUUCCUGUGGUUUUUCCACUGUUCUGAGAUCUGGGAAGGUGCUCUCCCUACUACUCUUCCCCAUCCCCAAACUUGUCUUGGUUAUUUUUGAACGUGUUCUAAGUAUGCUUUAAGACUAGCUUGCUUAGUUCCACAAAAAAAUUCACUGGGACUUUUAACUGUGAUAGAAACUGAAUUUAUAGAUUAAUUUUAGAAAAAAAUGUCUUUUACAUCAACUUUUAUAAAUAAAUGCUCUACAGAGAUUUGAAAAAGAGUGAGUACACUGUCAGUUACAAAGUUUUGUGCCCCCACAUGUAUACACACACAUACAUACUCUAAAUUUAUUAACUGCACUAUUCAAUUCUUAUCCUUUCUAGUUUUUGUCUAUUUGAUCUGUGAAUUUCUGAGAGGGGUGUUUAAAUCGUGCUCUAAAGUGAUGGUAUUUUUUACUUCUAACGGG